GGUAGUCGAGGGCUGGUUGCCCAGACACGGCUGAUAACCGAGUUGCGCUGAGUUCAAUUCCCAGGGCUACCAC
rnacentral:tRNA from 2 species